ACUUUGUCUUAUGCAUUUUCCCACACCUGACAAAACUUGACAAAAGGCGUCCGGCUUUUGUCAAGCUUUGUCAGGUGUAGGAAAAUGCAUAAGACACUGUCAAGU
rnacentral:miRNA from 1 species